rnacentral:lncRNA from 1 species
UAUCUUUCAGGGGUCAGCCAAGCCAGUGGGAAGCCUACGACAUUCCCCUGGGUCACUUAGUGAACUCCUACUCUUUCAUCAGGCCUCACUUGAACAUGACUUCCUCCAGAAGCCUUCCCAGACAUCUUUGAGCUAGAAAGUCAGAAGAGUAGAAUUGGAACCCAGCUCAGUCUGAUGCCACAUCCUUUGUUGUUUCCAUUAAAUCAGAGAAUUUCUUAGUGCUGAGAAACUAUUCUGGAACUUACAACAAAGCCUUCACUGUAUGAACAAUGCCUGAUCAUUCUUCCAGAGGAUGAGAAACCAAAGGGAUCAAAAAGGAGCUGUUCCAGCUGAGCCCUUUAGCUUAGCCAGCUCCCACCUGACCAGCUAUUAAUAGUCGACCAGAGAUGUAUGAAUCAGCAAGUUGAGAUCAGUCCAAAGGAAAGUUGGAUGGCCAUGAAACCAAUAACUUGGUAGUAGAGACAUCAAUGGGUCUAUAAGUCUGUGACUACGUAUGCCAAAUUUUUGUCAAUUUGCAUUGCAAUAAAGGAACACCUGAGGCUGGGUAAAUCAUAAAUAGGUGAUGUGGCUCAAGGUUCUCUAGGAUGUACAAGAAGCAUGGUACCACCAUCUGCUUCUGGUGAGGGCCUCAGGCUGCUUCCACUUACGGCAAAAGGUAAAGAGGAGCAAGCAUUGCAUGAUUGGAAGGAGUAAUGCACAGGAUCAAGAGGAAAAAUGGAGAAAAUAUUCCCUCCAGUCUUUAAUAAACAAACAAAGAAGAAAAAGAAAAUUCACUACCAAAUCAUACAUUUUCUUCCAACCGUAAAAUGAAAUAACAGUUUCUUCUAAUUCAGUUGUCAUAAUCAAGUCUUCAACUUCCAUAUACAACAUAGGAGAACAAGUUUGUUCGUGAGGCCACAGGGGAACUUGAUGUUAACAGAAAAAAGAUGUGAACAAAGCCCAAGGCAAAUGUACAAAAUAAAGGUGGAAACUACCUACUAAGAACUAGAACAUGGUUGGGAUUCAAUGAGAACGAACACAAAAUUCACCCAUUCAUA